UCUCCCACUAUUAUUGUGUGAGGCG
rnacentral:piRNA from 1 species